rnacentral:lncRNA from 1 species
AUUCAUCAGCGAGAGGGGACCUGAAAGCAGGUCGCCAUCUGUGAGGAUUAAAGUUAGGACCAAAUGCUGCUCAGAAAUUGUUUUAAUCUCAAAAGUAGUUGGCAAGUUUUCAGAGUUCAUUUUCAAGGCCUGGUGUAUGGGGCUGUUCUAAACUGUCAUCACACUCCUCAAGCCAUUAGCAACCUCAACAUCAGCAAGUGAUAUGCCCUACUUCUCCCCAGAUAAAUUAUGAUAUUGAGGAUGACCUUCUCUUCCCUGCUUCUGCCCCUGGACUUUGCAUACAACCAACUCUGCCCAUCAGGGAGGUGUAACUGUGGCUAAAACGUCAUGUGCUAAAAAUUCCUUCCCUAUUUAUCCUCCUAUGUCUUGCCCACCAAAUUUUUGUCUUCCUAUUUCUCUUUAAUCCUUUCCUUUUCAGUGAUUUCUUUCCUUUGGAACAUAAACAUAUUUCUUUACCUCAAAAGUCAAACCCCUGACUUGAUCCUGUAGUCUCCUCUAACUACCUUUCUCUUUCUUUCCACUUAUGCUUCUGGAAAUGUUGUCACAAUUUUCUGUCAUGUUUUUCUCUUCCCAUUGAAUUUUGAUUCUUCUGCUGUGUGGAUUUCCUCCUUGAAAUCUUCAGUGAAACAACUGAACAUUCAGAGCUAUUUCAUUUUCAAAGAUUCUCACAUGUGAGUAUUCCUCUUUCUGAAUAUAAUCCCCUUUCUAUCUCUUUAAUUUUGUUCUUCCAUCAAAACUUCUCUUUCAACACAGGCUGAGAUUAAAGUUUAUUUCUUAUGGCUUCUGAGACAUCUCUCCCUAAGAGAGCAGAAAGGCCUAUUCAUGUUAAUAUGUCCAAAUCAAACCCACUACACAGAUGUACUCUCAAACCUACAUCUUUAUUUCCUAUCUCAGCUAAUGAGAUAACAAUCUCUCCCUCUCCCAAAGUAGAGACCUUGGAUCCAUCUUUAAUUAUUUCCUAACUCUAAUUAUUAAAUCCAAUCAUACACCAAAAAAUGAUGUUCUGAAUACUCUCUCUUUCAUUUGUGCACUCCUUCUUUGUCGUAUCUCUCCUGGACUAAAAUAAUAGUUUCUUGCAGGGUGUUGAAUAGUGUCCCCUAAAAAAUCAUGCCCACCUGGAACCUCAGAAUGUGACCUUAUUUGGAAAUCGGGUGUGCAGAUGAAAUUAGUUAGGGAUCUCAAAAUGAAGUCACUGUAUUAUUAUUGUAGAUGAUUAUGUACACUAAGUUCAAGGACUGACGUCCUUAUAAAAAGAGAGGGUACACACACAGCCAACAGAGAGAAGAAGGUCAUACGAAGACACGCAGAAUUUGGACUUAUGCGGUCACAAGUCAAGGAGUGCUUGGAGCUACCGGGAGAUGGAAGAGUCAAGGCAGGAUUUUCCCUGGAAGAUUUGGAAGGAACAUAUUUCUCCUGAAACCUUGAUUCUAGCCUUCACUAAUGACAGAGAAUAAAUUUCUGUUCUUUUAA